CAUCAUGCCCCUUAUGACCUGGGCUACACACGUGCUACAAUGGGCGGUACAAAGGGUCGCGAACCCGCGAGGGGAGCCAAUCCCAAAAAGCCGCUCUCAGUUCGGAUUGCAGGCUGCAACUCGCCUGCAUGAAGCCGGAAUCGCUAGUAAUCGCGGAUCAGCAUGCCGCGGUGAAUACGUUCCCGGGCCUU
rnacentral:rRNA from 1 species